CUCUUAAACCAUAGCUCCUACCAGUUUUACAGUGCUCCUUUUGUAUCUGAACUUUUAUCAAGAAUUACUCAUUGUGUUAUGAUUACAAAGCUUUUUCUAGGAGCUACUAACAAUUUUAUUACAAUCCAGAAGAAAUAUGGUCUACUAGAAAGCUUCUACUAAUCACAACACUUAUGUCUUCCUUUCAGGACAGUCUUCAG
rnacentral:lncRNA from 1 species